rnacentral:rRNA from 1 species
GACGAACGCUGGCGGCGUGCCUAAUACAUGCAAGUAGAACGCUGAAGGAGGAGCUUGCUUCUCUGGAUGAGUUGCGAACGGGUGAGUAACGCGUAGGUAACCUGCCUGGUAGCGGGGGAUAACUAUUGGAAGCGAUAGCUAAUACCGCAUAACAGUAGAUAUCGCAUGAUAGCUGCUUGAAAGGUGCAAUUGCACCACUACCAGAUGGACCUGCGUUGUAUUAGCUAGUUGGUGGGGUAACGGCUCACCAAGGCAACGAUACAUAGCCGACCUGAGAGGGUGAUCGGCCACACUGGGACUGAGACACGGCCCAGACUCCUACGGGAGGCAGCAGUAGGGAAUCUUCGACAAUGGACGGAAGUCUGACCGAGCAACGCCGCGUGAGUGAAGAAGGUUUUCGGAUCGUAAAGCUCUGUUGUAAGAGAAGAACGAGUGUGAGAGUGGAAAGUUCACACUUGA